rnacentral:rRNA from 1 species
GAUGAACGCUGGCGGCGUGCCUAAUACAUGCAAGUCGAGCGAACAGACGAGGAGCUUGCUCCUCUGACGUUAGCGGCGGACGGGUGAGUAACACGUGGGUAACCUACCUAUAAGACUGGGAUAACUUCGGGAAACCGGAGCUAAUACCGGAUAAUAUUUCGAACCGCAUGGUUCAAUAGUGAAAGAUGGUUCUGCUGUCACUUAUAGAUGGAUCCGCGCCGUAUUAGCUAGUUGGUAAGGUAACGGCUUACCAAGGCAACGAUACGUAGCCGACCUGAGAGGGUGAUCGGCCACACUGGAACUGAGACACGGUCCAGACUCCUACGGGAGGCAGCAGUAGGGAAUCUUCCGCAAUGGGCGAAAGCCUGACGGAGCAACGCCGCGUGAGUGAUGAAGGUCUUCGGAUCGUAAAACUCUGUUAUUAGGGAAGAACAAAUGUGUAAGUAACUGUGCACGUCUUGACGGUACCUAAUCAGAAAGCCACGGCUAACUACGUG